GGGUGUGAAAAUUUUGCAGAUAUGCUGCUGGAGCUGGAGUCAAAAAAAAAAUGUCAAUAGGUGGCUGAGCAUGCUUGAGCAUGCUUAAGGGAUAGCUGCAGAUUUUCUUCACACACAUACACUAUUCUUUUUUUUUUUUUAAUGUUGGUAGAUAGAUAGAAAAAUAGGGGUUUGUAAAGUGAAGUAUAAACAGAAGCAAUAAUUCUUGUCUUGGAAUUUCUAUAUCUGUAAUAUUGUAUUGCAUCUUUUUUUUUAAUAAAAUCCAACUACCGGGUUUUGUU
rnacentral:lncRNA from 1 species